rnacentral:rRNA from 1 species
GACGAACGCUGGCGGCGUGCCUAACACAUGCAAGUGGAGCGACGAACCAGGGCUUGCCCUGGGGCAAAGCCGCGAACGGGUGAGUAACACGUGGGUAACCUGCCCCGAUGACCGGGACAACCCGAGGAAACUCGGGCUAAUACCGGAUGUGCUCUUCACACAUCAGUGUGUCGAGUAAAGGAAGCUUCGGCCUCCGCUUCGGGAGGGGCCCGCGGCCCAUUAGCUAGUUGGUGAGGUAACGGCUCACCAAGGCAACGAUGGGUAGCUGGCCUGAGAGGACGGUCAGCCACACUGGGACUGGGACACGGCCCAGAGUCAUACGGGAGGCAGCAGUGGGGAAUCUUGCGCAAUGCGCGAAAGCGUGACGCAGCAACGCCGCGUGGGGGAAGAAGGCCUUCGGGUUGUAAACCCCUUUCAGGAGGGACGAAGGUAGGGCGGUGAACAGCCGUCCCUACUGACGGUACCUCCAGAAGAAGCCCCGGCUAACUACGUGCCAGCAGCCGCCGUAA